GGGGAUGACUCGGAUUUGAUUAUGAUGCGAGUUAUAAUAUCACAAGUAGUGGGAAGGUUCUCAAACCACUUUAAUAAAGGAAUCAAAAAAUAAACGCAGAAGAAUUAUCUUCUUUCACCUUCGAAGAUGCUAUGGCAUUCGUUGGUGCUGAUUACGCAGUAGCUGCCUAAUCACCCCCGCAUACAUCGUGGGAUUUAAAAAGAAUGUACAAUACGGGUCACAGGUCAGAGCUCGUCUAAAAUAAUUCUGAGACCAAGUUGUUUGUAGGUAGGUUUCUCACAUAUAUCAAACCUAAUAUUUUGCUAAUUUAUAAAAAUUAGAUAAACUUGUGAGACGUUGGUAUUAUGAUUACUUUGUAAGACGUGGGUUCGAAUCCCACCAUCUCCACUA
rnacentral:tmRNA from 1 species